rnacentral:rRNA from 1 species
UGAGGAAUAUUGGACAAUGGACGAAAGUCUGAUCCAGCUAUGCCGCGUGCAGGAUGACGGCCCUAUGGGUUGUAAACUGCUUUUAUACAGGAAGAAAAACCCCGACGUGUCGGAACUUGACGGUACUGUAAGAAUAAGGAUCGGCUAACUCCGUGCCAGCAGCCGCGGUAAUACGGAGGAUCCAAGCGUUAUCCGGAAUCAUUGGGUUUAAAGGGUCCGUAGGCGGGCGUAUAAGUCAGUGGUGAAAGUCUGUGGCUUAACCAUAGAAUUGCCAUUGAUACUGUAUGUCUUGAAUUAUUGUGAAGUGGUUAGAAUAUGUAGUGUAGCGGUGAAAUGCUUAGAGAUUACAUAGAAUACCGAUUGCGAAGGCAGAUCACUAACAAUAUAUUGACGCUGAUGGACGAAAGCGUAGGUAGCGAACAGGAUUAGAUACCCUGGUAGUCUACGCCGUAAACGAUGGAUACUAGUUGUUUGGUUUUCGGACUGAGUGACUAAGCGAAAGUGAUAAGUAUCCCACCUGGGGAGUACGUUCGCAAGAAUGAAACUCAAAGGAAUUGACGGGGGCCCGCACAAGCGGUGGAGCAUGUGGUUUAAUUCGAUGAUACGCGAGGAACCUUACC